rnacentral:lncRNA from 10 species
ACUGCGCACCUCUGGGAGUGGUGGGCCAGGCGAAGGUGCCAUAGCGCGCGGCCCAGGCGCUGCUGCUGCAGCAGGAGCUGGCCCGGGGGCUCCCCGGCGCCGCCGUUUACAGGCGAGCGCAGGCCCAUGUUCUCGAAGUAGUGAGCCAGGAAGGCGAUCGGCUCCUCGGGCCGCGCCUCCAGCACCUUCAGCAGGGCCGCACGUAGCAUUUCCGUCACGCCGACCUGCCGCAGGAAGUCCUCCUCGCUCUCGGCCGCCCCCGCCGCCCGGGAUACCGACUGGCGGCCGCUGUCCGUGAAACCGGCCGGCGGUGGUACCGCUUGCCGCCGCUUCUCCACUGCCGCCAUCUUCGCUGAGGGCAGCGGGACCGGAAGCACCGCCAUAUUCCACUGUGCGCUAGAGCCCCCCCAAGGCGGCCAUCUUGAUUAAGGGCAGAGGGCACCGGUAUCCCGCUGGGAGACUUUGGGAAGUGACAAGGGUACGCUACCACUUUCCUUGUGUCCUUAUUGGCACUCUCUCUUCUCCUCCCUCUUUGUGUAUAUUGAUUGGCUCUCCUGGCUUUGGCCUCGGUCCUGAAUUUUGCCAGACUCCAAAAUGGCUGCCUCGGAAGUGCUUCGUUUCUGGCACAAAGCCGGAUUGCUUGCCAUUUGGGUAGUGAGCGAGUCCUUCAUUAGCAUGGUCUCCUAGCAACCAGUCUCCCUGGUUAGCAGAGAAGCCUGACGGAGCAUGCGCGGGGCUGGACCUGCCCAGGACUGCUGGACCCAGCCCCGCGCCCGGCCCCCAGACCCUUUUCUCAUGUUCAUCUCUGAGCCUUGGUGCUGGGGGUCGAGCUCAGCCUGGCCUUCCGCCUAACUCAGUCAACGUCUGAGUGCGUAGCUCACCUCGUGGGAGAAGCCCCCUCCCCAGCUCCGCUGCAGCUGCGCUGAGCCCCUAUUGGCGGCCACACGGGCGAGCAUCCCGCGCUGUUACCCCCUGACCGCCAGAGGGAGCUUUCUGACACCGCAGCCUCCAGAGCUGUAAACUCUGCCAUGGCUCUCCAGGGCCCCCGGGCUGGCACCUCCAGGCCUUCAUCGCCUGACCUCGCUUCCGGCCGCCCUCCCGGCCCUCCCAACCCUCCGCAGCCCGCAGCCACCUCAAAACACAAGCAGUCUCCUCCAUAAGCCGCCUCUGGGUGUGUUUCCCCAGGCGACCUCUGUGGAUCUUCCCUCACUGCUUUCGGGGACUCCUGGUUAAGCUUCUCACCGAGGAAACCACUAAGCCCUCGCGUUUCCCCGCCCCGGGCAGAGCUUGCUGGGUGCCGUCCCCGUCCCUCAGGGGCGUUGCCCCGGGCAGGGGGCAAUGAGAGCUGUUUGCCGGGGGACCGUUCCACCAUCCUCCCAGCACAGGAAUCUCUGGCGGGCAGACCAAAUGCCCUUUGUAAAACGUGAAGUAGAGGUUCCUCUUCAAAUGAGACUUUCCUCCCCAUCUAAUUAGGAAUAAAUAGUAACUUCUCUUAGAAGCAAAAUGUAUUCAAAGGCCUGUGGUAGGCCGGGCGCGGUGGCUCACGCCUGUCAUCCCAGCACUUUGGGAGGCCGAGGCGGGCGGAUCACGAGGUCAGGAGAUCGAGACCAUCCCGGCUAACACGGUGAAACCCCGUCUCUACUAAAAAUACAAAAAAUUAGCCAGGCGUGGUGGCGGGCGCCUGUAGUCCCAGCUACUCGGGAGGCUGAGGCAGGAGAAUGGCGUGAACCCGGGAGGCGGAGCUUGCAAGUGAG